rnacentral:siRNA from 1 species
UGAGGGUUCAGACGAAAUGAU